CUUUAAUUCAGUUUAUACAUGCAAGUAUCCGCACCCCCGUGAAAAUGCCCUCAAUCCUCUGCCAUAGGACAAGGAGCUGGUAUCAGGCACAUCUUUAUAGCCCAAGACGCCUUGCUCAGCCACACCCCCAAGGGAAUUCAGCAGUAAUAAACAUUAAGACAUAAGUGAAAACUUGACUUAGCCAGAACUAAAAGGGUCGGUAAAAUUCGUGCCAGCCACCGCGGUUAUACGAAAGACCCUAGUCUAUAGACACGGCGUAAAGGGUGGUUAAGGGACAAACAAAAUAAAGCUAAAGACUUCCAAAGCUGUUAUACGCUAACGCAAGUACUAAACCCAAAUACGAAAGUAACUUUAUUAAAUGCCUGACUCCACGAAAGCUGGGAAACAAACUGGGAUUAGAUACCCCACUAUGCUCAGCCAUAAACCUAGAUAGUACAUUACAAAAUUAUCCGCCAGGGGACUACAAGCACAGCUUAAAACCCAAAGGACUUGGCGGUGCCUCAGAUCCACCUAGAGGAGCCUGUUCUAGAACCGAUAACCCCCGUUAAACCUCACCAUCCCUUGUUUUCCCCGCCUAUAUACCGCCGUCGUCAGCUUACCCUAUGAAGGAAUUACAGUAAGCAAAAUGAGCCCAGCCCAAAACGUCAGGUCGAGGUGUAGCGCACGAGAUGGGAAGAAAUGGGCUACAUUUUCUAUCACAGAAUAACACGAAUUAUACCAUGAAAUGUGGCAUCUGAAGGAGGAUUUAGUAGUAAAAAGCAAAUAGAGUGUCUUUUUGAAUUAGGCUCUGAGGCGCGCACACACCGCCCGUCACUCUCCCCAACUAUAAAUCAUCAAAUACUUAAUAACACCCAUACAAACCACGGGGAGGCAAGUCGUAACAUGGUAAGUGUACCGGAAGGUGCACUUGGAAUAAU
rnacentral:ncRNA from 1 species